CCAGAGCCCGAGAUCCGCGCACCCUGCUGCCCCGCCCCCGGCCCCACCCCUCACUGAGAGUGGGGCGAAAGGGGGCCGACGGCUGUGGUGAACAGGGUUUCCUUAGCCUGCAGCCAAGGAACAGGUGGGGCCUGGUAAGACACCUCAGAGUGAGACAUCACAGGGUCACUCUGAAGACAAAGAGGUAGGAGAAUGAGGAAGAGGGUCACUGUCUUCUCAGGCCUAUACCCAAGGCCUGGGGGUGCUGAAUGGGCUCCAUCGCUGCUCCAUAGCCUAGUUCCAGGCAGAGGCCUCUCUCUAUGAAGCAUUGGUGUCAGAUCAUCCGAGAAAUGGUGGCGGGAAGACUAGUUUGGUGAACUCUUACAUAUUCUUCAAAGCCCGGGUCAUAAAACCCAUUCCUCCUCAGGGACUGAUUCCUCAGGCACCCAGGACAAGACCAGCUUCAACACUGGGGGCUCUGCCUCCUAGCCCUUUAUCACUCUGAGGUUAACUCUUUAACUCUUUAUUGCCCUUUAACUCUCUGAGUUACAGCCUCAAACUCUGUAUUGGAAAUGCGUUUGGGCUCAGAGGGAUUUGAAGAGAGAACAGGGCAGUCCUCUUGCAUAAACCAAGAGGUAGGAGGAAGGCCAGGCCUCUGUCACCUCCCACAGUCCUCAGCAGCUUCUGUCCCGGCCCCUCCGGCCCCUCAUCUGCCUCCAGCUCAAGACCAUCCAGACCACCCCUCCUCUUGAGUGUCUGUGGGGACAGCAGAUGACAGGAUUGGCCACAAGAAGAUAUGCACAGAUUAAGGAGCCUAGCAUAAUUGUCCUCUGAGAGGCUCAACACAGCAGCCAAUGAAAAGAGAUGCAGAGACCCACAGCCAAACAUUAGAUGGAGCUCAGGGAGUCUCAUGGUAGAGUUGAGGAAAAGACUGAGGGACCCAAAGAGGACAGGUACUCCACGGGAAGAUCAACAGAAUCAACUAACAUGGACUCUUGAGGGCUCCCAGAGACUGAAUCACCAGCCAAAGGGUGAGCAUGGGCUGGACCUAGGCCCCUGCACAUAUGUAGCAGAUGAGCAGCUUGGUCUUCAUGCGCCCCCCGACCCCCCCGAAUCCAUUGGCUGCCUGCCUGUGGACCCCAUUCCCCUAAAUGGACCACCUUGUCUGACCUCAGUGGGAGAGGAUGCACCUAGUCUUUCAUCGACCUGAUGUGCCGGAAGGCAGGCAGAUAUCAAGCGCAAACCGGCAACUGUAGUUCAGACCUGAAGGAACAAGGCACACCAACUGGCCUGAGACAAGCUGCCACAGGGACCUGGAGAGCAGUUCUUGGUCGAGUUUCUUCUCUCAAUGAUGACCUUACCACAAGUUGAACCCAACAACACUAUGUAAGUGCCAACUACAAUUGUAACUGGACCACAGACCUUAGAAGGCCCUCAGACCUAAACACAACCAACUCCAGGAUGGAAAUACCAUUCAGGUCAUAAAAUUCAGCACAUGAACAGCAUCACCUGCCAAAAGAAAGAAAAGAAAAGAAAAGAAAAGAAAAGAAAAGAAAAGAAAAGAAAAGAAAGGAAGGAAGG